CAGUCCUGCUGAAGAGCGAAAAAGGGAGAUGAAAGAAAAUGGAGACCUGAGCAAGAGAGUGAGGAUAAUUUUGAGUGGGACAACUCCCUCUCUGUGUGUUUUUCAAGCAGUGUCACAGCGACUUGAAUUUGGAGCUCAGAAAAUGGGAAGCACUUCGUUAGAGGCCACCAGUUUGAUACAAGAAACUCGCUGCUCUGUAAAUCCCUGAUAAAGUCAGAAAUAGAAGUGGUGCGUAGCCAACAGGAUGCAUUUGCGGUAGCCUCCCAACAUCCCCUAUCCCUCCCUCCCCCCGAGGCUGCUGUUGGCUUCUGGUGGGUCCUGGGUGCCAGAAGAGGGAGCACGAAACACAGCAGAACCCCAGCCUGAAUGUCCCUGCUGCUGCCUCAGCUGCUUAGACCUCAGCAGAUCUUGAUCCUGAGGAAGGACACCAACCAUCAGAGCUGAGCAACA